CCUACGGGAGACAGCAGUGGGGAAUAUUGCACAAUGGGGGAAACCCUGAUGCAGCGACGCCGCGUGAGUGAAGAAGUAAUUCGUUAUGUAAAGCUCUAUCAGCAGGGAAGAAAAUGACGGUACCUGAGUAAGAAGCCCCGGCUAACUACGGGCCAGCAGCCGCGGUAAUACGUAGGGGGCAAGCGUUAUCCGGAUUUACUGGGUGUAAAGGGAGCGUAGACGGCUGUGCAAGUCUGGAGUGAAAGGCGGGGGCUCAACCCCCAGACUGCUCUGGAAACUGUACGGCUGGAGUGCAGGAGAGGUAAGCGGAAUUCCUAGUGUAGCGGUGAAAUGCGUAGAUAUUAGGAGGAACACCAGUGGCGAAGGCGGCUUACUAGACUGUCACUGACGUUGAGGCUCGAAAGCGUGGGGAGCAAACAGGAUUAGAUACCCUAGUAGUC
rnacentral:rRNA from 1 species